rnacentral:piRNA from 1 species
UAUGGGACAUUUGUAGUGAUGCU